rnacentral:rRNA from 1 species
UACGUAGGGUGCAAGCGUUGUCCGGAAUUAUUGGGCGUAAAGAGCUCGUAGGCGGUCUGUCGCGUCUGCUGUGAAAAUCCAGGGCUCAACCCUGGACCUGCAGUGGGUACGGGCAGACUAGAGUGCGGUAGGGGAGAUCGGAAUUCCUGGUGUAGCGGUGAAAUGCGCAGAUAUCGAGAGGAACACCUGCGGCGAAGGCGGGUUGCUGGGCUGAUACUGACGCUGAGGCGCGAAAGCCAGGGGAGCGAACGGG